AAGCCUUGGUGACUGAGCGGCGGACGGGUGAGUAACACGUAUCCAACCUGCCCUUUACUCGGGGAUAGCCUUUCGAAAGAAAGAUUAAUACCCGAUAGCAUAAUGAUUCCGCAUGGUUUCAUUAUUAAAGGAUUCCGGUAAAGGAUGGGGAUGCGUUCCAUUAGGUUGUUGGUGAGGUAACGGCCCACCAAGCCUUCGAUGGAUAGGGGUUCUGAGAGGAAGGUCCCCCACAUUGGAACUGAGACACGGUCCAA
rnacentral:rRNA from 1 species